AUGAAGGUGCUCUGCUCUGCGUGCGAGGCCCCCGAGGCGCGCGUACUCUGCUGCGCCGACGAGGCCGCCCUCUGCGCGCGCUGCGACCGCGACGUGCACGACGCCAACCGCCUCGCCGGCAAGCACCACCGCCUGCCCCUCCUCUCCGCCGCCUCCAACCCGCCCGCCGUGUCCGCGCCAAACUGUGACAUAUGCCAGGAGGGCCACGCCUACUUCUUCUGCGUGGAGGACCGCGCGCUGCUCUGCCGGAGCUGCGACGUCGCCGUGCACACCGCCAACGCCUUCGUCUCCGCGCACCGGAGGUUCCUCCUCACCGGCGUCCAGGUCAGUCUCGAGCCCGACGAACAAGAAGAACCAGUGCCAGAGCCGGAGCCCGAGCCGCAACCGCCCAACAACGCCUCGUCGGCUCCCCUGCCACCGCCGAUGUGCCACAGGAAGAGGAGCCCGACGCCGCUCUACAGCGACGGAGAUAUCGACUGGGCGGCCGGCCCGGACGUCGGCAUCACCGGGAACUUGCCCGACUGGUCGGUCAUCGAUGAGCAGUUCGGCAGCGGUACCCCGGCGUUGAGGCCCGCGGAGCCGGAGGUAAUCAAAGCCCCUCCGAGGAAGAGUCCCCGGGUGGCCGUCACGGCGGCGAGCGCGGCACUUUUUGGCGGGAGCAUGCCGGACUGGCCGCUGGACGAGUUCUUCGGGUUCACCGAGUUCAACUCCGGCUUCGGAUUCGCAGAAAAUGGCACGUCCAAGGCCGACAGCGGGAAGCUCAGCUCGCCGAACCGCCGUUCGAUGUCGUCGUCCUCCUCCGGCAACGCCACCCAAAACGCGCAAGAUUUCUUCGGCCAGGUGCCGGAGGUCCACUGGUCGAGGUCGACCAUGCCGGAGCUCCCCUCCCCGCCCACGGCCUCAGGCCUCCACUGGCAGGGAGACCCGCACUACGGCCCUGCCUCCGACUCCGGGGCCGUGUUCGUGCCCGACAUCUGCUCCCCGGAGAACCCCUUCCGGUGCUUCACGGCCGGCGCCGAUCAGCAGCUCAAGCGCCGGCGGCGAUGCUAA
rnacentral:rRNA from 1 species